UACGUGCGUUACCGAGAACGCGCCACGGCCGACUGCGGACUUGCGGAGUGCGGACGAACUGACACGACACGCGGACACGAUCACAAGUUUUAAACGCGGCACGCGAAAUGCAAUAAAUUUAAAUUACGAAUUCCAUACAAAUUUUAAAUUCGACACAACAAACAAGCAUCAUAGAUGCUACGAUACAAGAAAUUCCAAAUUCAACAUUUAAAAAAUCAUCCAGUUUUCAAACUUGAGACAACGAAUAGUAAUCAUAAAAAUCAGUGUACUUAAUAUCUUUGUUUAUAAACGAAACAAAUUACAGUAAAAAGUCGUUAGUAUGUUGAGUGAGUUCAUCAUUAUGUGCCUAACAAAGGGCUCUUCUUCGUUUCGUAAUUGAAUUAAUCCGUAAUUAGAGGCGAGAGAGCUCUUUAUGUUGAGUAGAGACGGAUUUGACAUUGCAGCCUGCCGUUGAAGUAAAUGGAAAUCUGUCAGUGUGACGACGGGAUUGAGGUGUGAGGGCAGGUACCUACAAGCCUACAACGCGAAAUUCAGGUCAACUAGGAAGACAGGUGGGCGAGCAAAGGCUGAGCCAGGAGGGGUGGAAUUUGCUAAGAGCUGCCCAGGCGCCUCCAAUAGAUACCUAACAACUCAAGAGCAGCUGGUUCGCGAAUGAAUCUACUACGAAGGCUCGUGCCCAUCAAUAUCUGGGACACGGGUAGGCUGUGUCACCAGGGGAGAAGCCGUAGGCCAAGACGUAAUCGUGUGCAGCCCGACCCAGGAGGUCAGAGAACCCUGGACCCCACCCACUCUUGGUGGUGAUCGUUAAAAUCUCCAAGGUCCACCGCCUCCGUAAAUGGUUCAAGCACGCGGUCAGUCCCCUUUUGUACAUACUCAAACACAGCUGACCCCGCAUCGCUGCUGUGGGAUCGGAGCGGGCACCUUUUCACUGGGUCUCCCUAUAUCCCCGUCAAACCAUCAUAUCCCGCGAGCUCACACGCAAUUCUGCCUGGCAUGUUCCAAAUAUCACCAAGAUUCAUCCCUAUCAAGGAAGAGGAAAGGGAAGGAAUAGAACUGACUCUCCAACCCACACGCCGGAACACAGACAGCUACGCUAUUUGGCGGCGGACUCUAGUUGGAGGAUGGUCGCCAGUUAGUCGGACAAGGUCUUACCACCGUGCCGAAAUUGGCACGACAUUUGUUUUAAAUAUUUUAGUUAUUGAUCUGAUAUCUUCAAGUGAUAUUUGAAAUGCUUAAGGUAUCAUUAAAAAUAAAUUAUAUUUGCUAUAACUAAA